rnacentral:lncRNA from 1 species
GGUUCCGCUGUUUCAGUGACAUUCAAUUCUGAUGGAAGACGGUCAUGUUCUGUGCCAACUGCAACUGAAGAAGAAGAAAAAGAAGAAGAAGAAGAAGCAGCUGAGAGUGUGAAGGGAGAUGAAGUGUGAGGAGAGAGAAAGGGUUGGAAGAGGUGAAUAUGAGGCCAAAAAGAUGAGAGUUUAAGGGAAUUGAAAAUUGAAGGGUGUUUUAGCGUUGGCAUUAGCACGAAGAAGAAGAGGGUUUGAAGAGGAAGAAGGUUGAAAAGAAGGAAACUUGUGAAGGUUCGAGUGCACAGCUCCAUUGUCUCUCAGUACUUACAGCAGACAGACACAACAACACAGAUAAAUAGAUAUUGUCUUUUUAAGUAUUUAUUUUAAAAUCAAAAUGUAACAAUUUCAGUAAUUUUCGGGUGGCCCUAAGUUUCAGAGUUUACACGUUACCGUUAUAGAAUGUGUCAACUCUCAUAUAACCAUGCGAGGAAGUUUUUUUAGAAGACAAAAAAUCAUUGAGUACAUUUUCUAAUGUAUAAUAUAAAAAUAUUUAAGGUUCCGAUAAAAUAUGGACAAUAUUAAUUUUUUUCUCUUAAUUUUUUUAUGUUAAUUUAGUCUCGAUAAAAACAAAAUAUAUUUUUAGUGUGCUUUAACUGUAACUUCAAUAAACAGACAGUCAUGAGACGUAGUUAACAUGUUAAUUGGUGUGAUUAGAUUAUAAUUGAAUUAAACUUGUCGCGGUUAAAUAAUCUGAAUUAAAUCAUUUUUAACAACUAAUAUAUUUUAACAACUAAUCUGAAUUAAACUUGUCUCGUUAGUGCAUUAUUCAAAUCAUCAACAUGCUUUGAGGACGAAGUCGCUUUCCAUUUGGAUUUGGAAGGGGCAUAUCUCCAAUGAAAUCAGCAUUUAAUAAUCAAAUUAUUCCACAACUAAUUUUUGCACAAUCAACAUCGACAUAUUAGUCAAGUUUCCAAAAUCUUCUCCAGAGAGUAGAGGAAAAUUCUUGAUUUGCACUACUCCUAACUCAGUUAACUCCCAUAGUUAAUAGCAUAUAUAACCUUAAUAUAUUCCCACUUUUGUUAACAGUUUAGAUUCUUUGAUGUUUGUUUAGUGGGAGAUAAUAAUGGUUCAAAUGUUGAAUGGACACGUUAGGGUGUGUUUUGUUAACACUUGCAAGUAUCUUUGUCAGGGUGUUUUGCAAAACUAAGGAAUAAUAUAAGUGGAACCCUAUUAUGAAAAAGGGCACAUAAUAAUAUGUAAUCACAACUUUGGUUUUAUUAUUCCACGAGCUAUAACGUUAUAGCCUCUUGUUCGCUAGUCUUAGUCUACCAAACCCAUUAAACAAAAUUUCGUGGGGGAGUAUAUAUAUAUAUAUAUAGGUCUAUGGUGUUGUAGAAACACUCACUCGAACUCAGCAUUUCUAAUUGUUCUGUUCCAUAUCAUACUUUCUUUGUAAUAACUUAAAGAACCCCACAAAAACAUCAACCAUGUCCACAAUUGCAAAGAGAGAUUUGAAAUCCUUUAAACAUACAUAAAAAAUAUUUGAUUCUUUAAACAUCUCCUAUCAAAAUCAAAAUUGAUACACAGCAUCCUAUGUGUUCAUGGCCACAUCAACUUAGAGUUACUCACAUCUCCUAUCAAAAUCAAAAUUAUGAUACAAUCCAAAAUGAUAAAAUAGUUGGUACAUGUUCCGAAAGAAAGUUGAUUAAAAACAGUACUCAAAAGAGGAAUAGUCCAAAUCUAACCAUUGUAGACUUCAUUGAUACAUAGCAUCCUAUGUGUUCAUUUACAAUAAAAAAAAACCAGCAAUAUGUUGCAGAGUUGGGACCCAACACUGGUUAAUCAGUGCACUUGGUUUCUCUAUUUCAAUCAGAUUUGUUUCUCUAUUUCUCUUUGAUGCAUAUUCACAAACAUAUGGUACUCACAACCUAUCUCAACUCCAAACUUAUCCAAUUCCACAUCCACCAACAUAUCAAAAUCAUUGAAAUAAAAUAAAUGAAAUAGAAAACGAAACAUACAUCAAUAAAAUCAAGCGAGCCUUGUAGCUACAAAAAUGAAAUUAAAAUCAAACAAACAUAAACUUGAGAAAAGAAAAAAAUAGAGAUGAGCGAGCGAUAGAGAAAUCUAUCUGUGAGAGGAAGAAAAGAUUGUGAUGAAUAGAAAGAAAAACUUACUCGUGAGAGAGCGCUAUGUGUGGUGUGUGAAUAGAAAGAAAAAUUUAUUUGUGAGAAUUUAAAAUUUUGUCAAAUUAGUGUAUUAAAAUGCUUUAUAAAAAUGAUGACAUUUUAAUUACUUCUAAAAUAUCUUAUCCAAACAGAUUAUUUUAUAAGAAGACAUUUUAAUAUUCCUGUUAAAAUAUUUUAUCUGCUUUAAUUUUUCCAUCCAAACAUACUCUAAAGGUAAGCAAUUUCGAAGGCAUCGAAUCCUGGGAGGAAUAUUAAAUACUCUUAAACUCUAGCAUAUGUAUCUUAGGAAUAAAAAUAUUUUUAUAGCCUCGAAGAGAUAAUAUUAUUAUUUGAUGAAGUUGUAAUCUAUUUAUAACCCGAUAACCUUUUCAAAAAUGUCAGAAACUACAUAAAACCACGCUAGACCUACCAAUCUCACACACCGCCUAAGUUGUCACAAGACUUCAUCAAUAAAUUCCCACUCCUCAAGCAGAGCCUAAACUCUUCAUCAGAUGGCUUAUGGGUAAAUCUUUAGCUAUAACUUCAAUCACUUUUUUUAUUAUGAAUUGUCCUGGUUUUACUUUCUUUUGCAUCAUAAAAAAUGUUCAAUCUAUGAAAAAUAUCUAACACUAAAGACAUAUCAUUUUUUUAGAAAAUUAACAUAAAAAUAGUAAUACAUAAGAAUAACAAAACAUUAACUUUUAUUUAUAUCUUAGUUGAACAUACAGAGCUUAUCAAUGAUAGAUCAUCCAACUAAACUUAGCCUUAUAGAAAAUCUCUAAGUUAGGAAACAUAGAUUUCUAGGAAAUGAUUGAUAGAUUAUCGAUCCAACUAUCCUUAUUAAGGAAAGAAAUCAAAGAAAAUUUUUUGAGUUGUAAUUGAUUUGAUGUUUUAUCCACUUAACAUGCGUUGUAGUAUCGGCUCCUAGUCCUUUACAAUCAACUUCGGCAUAUGAAAUUACUCUUACAAAAAUUUAUUUAAAAAUAAAAUAAAAUGAAAAAGAUUAUUAAAAAAAUUAUGAAUAUUAUUUUUUGAAGUAUACUCUAAGAGAUAAUAUAUUUAUUUAAACUUACUCGUGACCAGUAAAAGUCCAUGGGUUCCAUCCUUGGGGAGUCAUCACAGAGGAAAAAUAUGUUCCAUGAAAUAUUAUCCUCGAGUAAGCACACCAAACUAUUCCUAAAUUUACCUUUCCAUCCCAAAAAAGAGAACCUCCCUCAAACACAAAGAUGUUUUGAUCAAUGGAUGACUGUCCUUGAGCUGUAACAAAGUCUGGUCCAGUCCUAUUUAUCCUUUAUUUCCACAGCAUUGAUUGAACAAUUCUACACUUGAAAAAAAUGUAAAAAUAUUUUAUGUUAAAAUUAUUUCUUCUGACAAAAUAUAUUUUUGUAAUUACCUCAUAAAAAGAUUGUCCAUAACCAUAGAUAAAGUCUACUUCACCUUUCAUAUAACAAUCCUUAAAUAAUGACGUCCCCUUCAAACAAGGUGUCUUGAUAACUAAUGAAAUUACAUCUAAGGAAAAAAUGAUUUGUCUCCAUGUAUUCUUGUUGUCAAUGCUGGUUCAAUUUUAGUAUUUCUUCUAACUUUCAUUCAGCAAUAAUCUAGACUUCUUUUCAUUCUUAUUAGUUUUCUUUGUAAGCUUUAGUAUAACCAUAGUAGUAGGUUCUUUGAUUAGGAAGAAGAAGUAAAAAAAUAACAAAAAAUUAUUAAAAUAAUUUUCUUAUAAUUUAUUUAUGUACCAUGAAACCAAUGUCAGUGGCAACCACAUUAGGUGGUCGGGAGGUGAAUGUAGCACUAGUGUUAGUUCCUUUGUGGUCCCAGAAAAUUAUGAUUGUUGUCCGACUUCUCUCUCCUUCUAAAAUGAUGCAUGACUUUUCUUUUGAAAUAUAAAUCUUUCCUCUACACAAUGAGAAUAACUAUAUACACGUAAAAAUGUGAGUAUAUUUCUAAAAAUGCGAUCCAAAGUCAAGAAAAAAGUAUUCAUGAAAAAAUCCGAAGUCAAAGUCUGUAAUAUUAGUUCAAUCAUCCUUUUUGUUUUGUCUAGUGUGACAACAUAUUCAUAAUGUUCCACAUUAGCUAUGACAAGAUUGUCUUCGUAUUAGUAUAAAGAAAAAAAUAUCCAGCCAAAUCUGAAAAGAAACCUGAAAGGCUUAGAACAUGAAAGGAGUCAUAAAAUCAACCAACUAUUAGUUAAGAAAGUUCUUUUUCUAAUAAAUUAGUUUGUUGAACAUGCAUACAAUCAGAAUUAUAUGUCCGAUGUGUAUGUGAAUUUCUUGCGACUCUUUUAGUAGGAGUUACGAAGUACACUUUCCUGAAGUUUUAGUCAUGAAGAAGCUGAAAUGAACUCUUGUGAACAAAAACGAUUGAUAAAUUGAUUUUGAUCAAUGCCUCUUUAGCACAAAAGAAAAGGAAUUUGAUCAUGUUUCGAUCCAACAUCAGACAUUCUAAAUUUGUUUUGGUCAGCCAAAAAAAGGAAUUUUAUUAACCGGGUAUCAAAGGCAAGUACAUGUUGUGUAAUAAGUACAACUAAAGCCCUCUGGAGUGGUAUUUGCCCUGCAUUCCAAACAAUUCUCACAAUUUCACGUAACUUAUUUCAAUUCAACUUACAUGUAUAAGUCAACUUAUGUAUGAAUCUUGAUCCACCAAUUAUUGUUGGUUCUUAUUGUAAUCUUUUAUAAUAAUUAAGACCACUCUCAAUUUAUGUUAGUUUGCUAUAAAUAACUCAUUUUACUAGAAGAGUCGCAAGAAAUCCACAUACACACCGGGCAUAUAAUUCUGAUUGUAUGCAUGUUCAACAAACUAAUUGAUUAGAAAAAGAACUUUCUUAACUAGUAGUUGGUUGAUUUUAUGACCCCUUUCAUGUUCUAAGCCUGUUAGGUUUCUUUUCAGAUUUGACAGGAUAUUUUUCUUUCUUUAUACUAAUACGAAGACAAUCCUAUCAUAGCUAAUGUGGAACAUUAUGAAUAUGUUGUCACACUAGACAAAACAAAUAAAAAAUAAAAAACAAAAAGGAUCGCAUUUUAAAAAAUACAUUCACAUUUCCACGUGUAUAUAGUUAUUUCCAUAUUCUCUUUGUGCAGAGGAAAGAUUUAUAUUCUCGAAGAAAAGUCGUGCAUCACUUUAGAAGGAGAGGGAAGCCGAAAAACAAUCAUAACUUUAUGGGACCACAGAGGGAUUGACACUAGCGCUACAUUCACUUCUCGACCACCUAACGUGGUUGCCACUGACAUUGGUUUCAUGGUACAUAAAUAAAUUAUAAGAAAAUAUUUUAAUAAUUUUUUGUUAUUUUUUUUACUUCUUAUUUCUAAUCAAAGAACCUAUUACUAUAGUUAUACUGAAGCUUACAAAGAAAAGUAUUAAGAAUGAAAAGAAGUCUAGAUGGUUGCUGAAUGAAAGUGAGCUUACAAUGAUUAGAUGAUAGUACAGUUUAUAUGGUUAGUUACAAGAGUAACUAACUUGUAACUAACUAACUCUAAUCAAUUGAUCUAACUCUAACUCUAGUUACAUGAUAACUUAUUGCUAAAAUUUAAUGGAUUUUAUUUUAAUUGCAGAACACAUAUAACAGCAUGAACAGAAGAAGAAAUAUUAAAAUUGAACCAGCAUUGGCAGCAAGAAUACACGGAGACAAAUUAUUUUCCCUUAGAUGUAAUUUCAUUAGUUAUUAAGACACCUUGUUUGAUGCAAGGGGACAUCAUUACUUUAAGGAUUGUUAUAUCAAAGGUGAAAUAGACUUUAUAUACUGUAUGAACAAUCUUUUUAUGAGAUAAUUACAAAAAAAUAUUUUGUUAGAAGAAAUCAUUUUGAACAUAAAAUAAUAAAAUAUUUUUACAUUUUUUCCAUGUGUAAAAUUGUUCAAUCAAUGCUGUGGGGGGAUAAAUAGGACUGGACCAAACUUUGUUACAGCUCAAGGAUGGAAGUAACCAGUUGAUCCAAACUUCGAAGGAAGUUCUCUUUUUGGGAUGAAAAGGUAAAUCUAGGAAUAACAUGAUGUGCUUGCCAAGGGUAAUAUUUCAUGGAACAUAUUUUUCCUCUGUGGUAACUCCCCAAGGAUGGAACCCCAGGGACGUUUACUGAUCGAGUAAAUUUAAAUAGUAUACUUCAAAAAUAAUAUUCAUGAUUUUUUUGAAUCAUCUUUUUCAUUUUGUUUUAUUUUUAAAUAAUUUUUUGUAGGAGUAACUUCACUUAUUCUGAAGUUGAUUGCAAAGAAUCAGGAGCUGAUACUACAAAGCGCGUGUUAAGUGGAUAUAGACGUUAAAUCAAUUACAACUCAUAAUUUUCUUUGACUUCUUUCGAUAAUAAGGAUGGUUGGAUCGAUAAUCUACCAAUCAUUUCUUAGGAAUCUAUGUUUCCUAUCUUAGAAAUUUUUUAUAAAGCUAAAUUUAGUUGGAUGAUCUGCCAUUGAUAAACACUAUAUGUUCAACUAAGAUAUAAUUAAAAGUUAAUGUUAUGUUAAUCUGAUGUACUACUAUUCUUAUGUUAAUUUUUUUUAAAAGGAUAUGUUUUUAGUAUUAGAUAUCAUCCAUAGAUUGAAUUUUUUUUUUAAUUCUUUAUGAUGCAAAAGAAAGUAAAAGCAGGACAAUUAUAGGGUGAUGCCGGGAUGGGUUCAGUACCAGAAACAUGAGAAGCAGCAUCUUCUUUUGAUAUGGCCACAUAAUUCACGGGAGCAGAUAGUCUGUUUUCCCUUUUUCCAUCUUUUGAUGUGGACCUGUUUCCAUUUUGAUGAGCAUUAAGCGAUAGCCGUCGGUUAGGAGUAGCAUUGGCUCCUCCGUUAGCACGAGGACCUCCUGACUUACUGGAACUAACUGGCCUAGCAGGGCUGGGUCUUGAACCAAAGAUGGUUUCUUGUUCCGUGUUUCGCUGCUCGUGGUGCUUUUUCUGAUCCUACAAAGUGUAAAGUCCAUAUGUUAUGACCUCUCAGUACCACAGUAUGUAUAACAAAUAUAGAAUAGUAGUGAACAGAACAGAAAUAGGCCACGCUGAUAGCUUUAAUUUCCUCAGAGUUGUGGUCUUAUUAUUAUUAGCAAGUGCUCAAAUCAAGCUGAAAUCGAGUAAUCCCAAAUCCUAAUCAUCUUAUUAGUGAAACUUACCCUCAUCCUCCGUUUUUCCUCUUCCCGCUCAUGUCUGAGCAUGGCAUAUUCAUCUAACAUGGCAAGAAGAGCAACGCCAUCAUAUGUACAUGACAUACCAUCAUCUUCUUCCCAUGCACGAGUUUUAGCAACCAAUGUAUCAACCAAAGCUGCAUUUUCACCAACAGAAACAAAAUUAUUCCAAUAAUGUGGCAUCAUCUUGUUUUGCUUACACUGACAGCAGAUUGAAUUAAUAAUAACAGUAUCUGAUGGUGAUUGUAAUCUCAUUUAACAAAUACCUGGAAUUUUGUUGACCAAUAUCCGUGCUUUCUCUGCACGUUUGAGGUUUAUGUGUGCACCUCUGCUUGCAUUAUACCUGUUCUCAUCCUGUUUUACAAGGUUGUGUGUCAGAGUGUAACAUUAUAAUCCAAACGAGGAGGAUUAGGCAACCAUUUAAAGAUCAUAACUUGCAGCAAAGCUAAUGCUAAAAAUCUAAAUAUUUCCGGAAACAGGGCAAGAAACAUUUCAAUUAUCUUGUCAAAUAACAAAUCACUUAAACUGAUAACUAGCAGACUAUAUAAUGGAUACAGAUUAACUCUGGUUAAAGGAUUUAAUGUUCUGAUCAUAAUACUACUACUUCACCUCUCUAUUCAAACUCAGAAAGAGAAAUAAAGCAGAAGCGAGAUUUUAAGUACCCGGUUAUAGUCUUCAAGCCAACUCUCUUCAUCACAUGCUGACAUCCAUUUCUCAACCUUGUCCAAUAUAUCUUUUUGGCUUACAGCUUCUUCUUUUGCUUUUGCUAUCUGAUUGUCCAUGUUAGCCAGUAAUUCAGUUAGUUCAAUGUUUCCUGAAUCAAUCAAUGCCAUAAUCUUCUCCCGGGCAGCAUCUGGAUCUACUUCUAUAUGAGCACGGGCAAAUAUCUCUUCGAGCUCUGCUUGCUUCUUGAAAGCAAUUUCCUUCAUCCUGCUGGCUUUCAGCUGAUCAAGUCUCUCAACUUCCACUUCAGCCUUUAUUAUCAAAUAAAAAGAAAAAGAAGUUAAUAUCAUACUUGGAGCUCGAAUCCGUAAAUUUCAGAAGUUCUUUAGUACCUGCUCAAUCAGAUCCAGAGCAAGGGCACCAGGAACAGUGACUUCAUCAACAGAAGCUGACAUAUUACAGGUAACAUGGUCAAAUAGUCUCCUUUCCUCGGGAUGAGUAUCCAUUAGAUUACAAAGAUCAAUCAACUGAGAAGCUAAUUCUUGGAGCUGCAUGAAAUAUCCAGGUCAAAGUAAAGAAAAUAGUAUUAGAUUAAAAGUCAAGCAAGUAAUGAAUGCAAAACAUUUAGUAGGUAAUGCCACUCUGGGGUGUCAAAGUCAGAAUUGAUGGUGAUUUCUUGAAAACAUACACACGAUUAGCAAGACAAAAACCACAGUAUAUCAAAAUUCCUAACAUUUGAGAGCUUAUACAGUUAACAGCUAUUGCAUAAAUAAAAAUUAAGGAGAAGAAAUGUUCUAAAUGCAUUACCUUGUGCAGCCUCUGUUUUUUUUAUCUUCUUUCAGCGUUAAGACGGUCUUAGCCAGCCUUGCUAGGGUGUCAUUACUUAUGCUCUUUAAUUGACCACCAGUAGAGUCAUUUAGACUUGGAUGAACCUCAGUUGCAGUACUGAAGAAGUCCAUACCAAGGACAGCACAUACAUCAUGCACAGUACUCACAAAUUCAAGAAAGAACCUUGUGCAACCUCUCGCUCUGCCAAACAAGGCAAUGCAACAAAACUCUCAAUGAGCUGUUUAGUAAAUGAAAUCAAAAGGAAUUUUCCAAAUUAGUGACAAACUGAACUGACACAUUAUUGAACAUUAUAACAUAAUUACCUUUUCCUUUUGAAGUUCUUGGAGCUCAGAUUGAUAUUCAUCUAACUUCUUCAGGGACAGGUCAGACUCAUCAACUGCAGGUGAAACAUCAUUAAGGUUCAAGUUUCCGGCUAUCUCUCCACAUAUUUGUUGGAUCUGUGACUGUACAUCCGAGAACUCCUUAAUUCUUUCUUCCUUUUGUUGCCAUAACUGUUCAAGUACUGGUGCUAUAGCUGGAAGCUGUUCUUUGAUAGUUCCAUAAGUAUUCUCAGGCUGUGAAAGAAUAAAAAAUAUGCAUAGGAAAUUAGUUUGCCACUUUACUAACAAUACAAGACAUAGUCAAGUAGUUACUAACAAUUCCAGCAAAGCUCUUUUCUCCAAGUGCUGAUAGAAGAGUGGAAAGCUCAAGCUUAGCAUCAGACAGAGCUUGAAGUAGCUGCACCCUUGACUUGGCUGCCUGCUCAACCUUUCUCUUGUACACAUCCAAGCACUCCUGCUCUAACUGAAGAAGCAUCUUGUCUCGUUGCUCGUCGCUCUCACCAACCUCAUCCCAUAUUUCCUACAGCGAAUAAAGAAAAUGAAAUUAAUUUAUCCCAUUAUUCUGUAGAGCAUUCGCAUCUUGAGUGACACAGAUGAAAAGCUGAAUGAAGUUAGUUACCUGAAACUUUUUUAACAAGGAACCACAUGUGUUUUCUCCAAGAAGAGGAUUCUGAGCUUCGGUCACUGCCAUUGAAGUCCCAGCGACACCUAGCCUGCACCUCAAAAUAUAAAAAUGACUUGAAAAUUCUUUCUGCUUCCACCAAACGCACAGAGAAACAUUUCUUCUCUUCUACGAAGAUCAAGAAAGUAGAAGACAUCUGCUAUAAGACAAUGCAAAUGGCCGUAAUCCAUCGUGGGUAAAUGUUGAAUUCCGGUAACCCAAAAUUACCCACCCCAACAACUAAACUAACGUAACGAAUUCAAAUAAGGAUCUUUGAAUAGAUAAGCCAAAAAAAAAAAAUUCUUAAUAUUAAUAAAAAUAAUAAUUAAUUAUUGUUAAAAAGUAAAAAGUUUUUUAAUUGCAUAUGUAGAGAAGUCGAAUUUUGUUCAUUACAUAUGACAUGAUCAUAAUACAAUGCAUGGUAAGCUAAUUAAGCUAACAAUCACAACAGAAUGAAAUGAGUCGACGAAACGGAAGCUACAAUAACCCAAUGAUCAGCAACAAGUAGCAAGAAAAUGCGAUUAUCGAGAGAAUAAAAGGGAAAUGUUCACAGUGAAGCUUAAGAAAAGAACGAAGCUUGAAAAGAAUAGACGAAAGAAAGAGAGAAAUGCAGCGUAAAACAAGUUAGUUCACAAUCCCCAUAUGCUAGUAACUGGGAUGUUAUUGUUCGAGUUUUAAGAUAUAUUAACAAAGCACAGGAUCAAAGUUUAUUGUAUGACAUUAAAGGAAAGUAGGAAACAAUAAAAAACUAGGAUAUUUUUAUGCAUAAAGUACAAUGUCAUUAUUUGAUCAAUUGUUUAAGGUAAGCUAUGACCUAGCUACCAAUGAGCUUAUUUGGAUAAAACAAUUACUUCAAAUAUUAAAAUUCAGGGAACAUUUAAGAUAUGUAUGAAAUCUCAUGGUAUGAAAACAUAAAUCAGCGUUGUAACAUCUAAAGCAACAACUCAUAGAACACAGGGUUAAUUGAAAAACCUGGCAUGUUUGAGACAAAGCCACCUCUGGUCUCAAUGCUCCCCCGCUCAGUAUUGGGUUCAAGAUCAGUUGACAUCUGUCCAGCCACCCCUCCCCUUGGUUGGUAUUUUUUUGGCCGUUUGUCUCAAUUUAUUAGCUCUAUUCGUACGUCAGUGGAAAAAGUCGUCUUCCAUUUCCCAAAUAGACGACUUACACUACCUGGGUCAUCACUUAUUAUAGCUAGAAUGCUACCAACAAUGGUCAUCAAAAUAUAAUAAACCAAAAUAAAUAAAUAACUAUUCAGCUGUUACCCAUGGUUAUAAUUUAUAAAUAGUACCUUAAAUUAAUGGUUAAACUCAUUCUCUUUACUGAAGUCAAACUCCAUCGCUUAACUUCAUUAAUUCCAAACAAUUAUAAAAUAUCAUCACUCAAAGCAAAACCCAAAUUAAAUCCAGCAAUAACUUUGUUGUGAAACAAAUACUGAUCUUUUACUAUUCUAUUAACGGCAAAGACAUUAUAUUACUCAAUAAAAAUACCAGCAAAGUUAAAAGUAAAUAUGAAAUCCAAAUUUGUUUGGUAUGAAAAGUUUCCUUUCUUUUUGUAAACUAGUAAAAUUUGAUUAUGGAUAUUAAUUUUUCUAAUUUUAUAUUUACUUUUUUUAAGUAUUAAUUGUUUUAUGCUUUAGUGAUUGGUAAAGUUGUGCUUUAUCUAGAAUAAAAUAUGAAUAAAUAUAUUUUAUAAGUAAGAAAAGAGACAAAAUGUAAAUUUUAUAUAAUUCUUUUGUGGGACUUAAGUAUAUGUAAGUGCAUAUACUGUCAAAAGAUUAAAAUUAUUUAACGUUGAUUUAAGUCAAAAUCAAGAAUAAGAGAAAUAAUUUACAAAUAAUCCUUUAUGUUAAAAGAAUAUCUUAGAAGUUGUAAAAGUUUGGCCUUAAAAGUUAAGCUUUCAAAUAUCUUACAAAAUUUUAAGUAAAUAUUUUAUUUUGAAAAAUAUAUUUUUCUCUCUGGUAAUAGAUUACUAGAAAUGGUAAUCGAUUAUAAAAAAUGGUAAUGAAUUUCUAAAAGCACAAGUGAUUUCAACUGUUAUUAGAAAAAGUUUGAAUUUAAAUUUUAAAAGGUGUAAUCGAUUAUCAUUAUUGUGUAAUCGAUUAUCGGUGACGAAAAUUGUAAAGUUCAAAUUGAAGAGUCAUAACUUCUCAAAAUUAUUUGUGUAAUCAAGUAUAAUACAUUGUAAUCGAUUACCCGUGAGAAAAUUUCAAAAAAAAUAAAUUUAAAAAGUCAAUCAUAAGUGUGACCUUAAUAAAGUAAGAGAGAUGAAUUAGGUUUAGGGUUUAAUAACGUAAGAGGGGUGAAUUAAGUUUAAAGAAUUUCCCCUACCGGUAAUAACAACUAAGUAAUUCGGAAGAGAAUUAAAAGCUUGAGGGGACCAUGACAGUUCGUCCCCCUCCCUCCACCUAACAACUCUGUGUUUUUUGUACUUAUCUACUAGUAUUCUUUAGAUAGCACAAUUCCAUGCUUGUUGCUCAAUACAUGGUGGUUUUAGAUUUUUUCCAACACGUCCUGUCUGAAAAUCGAUAAUCAAGAUGCCAACAAUGGAAGACACAUGUGGGUUGGGGCCAUGCAACAUGUGACCAAGGCAGGGAAUAUAAUAAGAUCUGUAACUUAAGAAUUUGCAUAGUUGCAUUUGACCAGCCGAAAGCACCAUUUCUAACGCAGUCACAUGCAUUUGUAUUUUCCAUUAUUUGCUAAUCAUCGACCAAAAUUAAACAGUGUGGUUUAAUUAUAAUGGCAUCAUCUCUCUUGUGAUUGUAUUUUAUUAUAGGCACAAAUCUUUGUAAGCCCUGUUCUGUUCUCUCUCGUAUCAUACCUACUUUCUUACUUGUCGAAUUAUACCUUCUUCAUUGCUCAUUAAAUAUAUUGUCAUCGAGGUUCGUGGACCCAAUUCUUCGGUUUGCCACUUGUGCCAUUGUUGUUACGCCAACGGAAUGGAAUUAAUGUUUGUUCUAAUUAUAGUUUAAUUUGCUUAGAGGAUGAAGAACUUUUGAUUAGUUAGGGAUUUUUUAUUUUAUUACUUAUUUUUUUAAUUUUAGGUUUAAAUCCUCGAAAUAAUUCAAUUAGAUGUUUUUAAAAAAUAUAUAUAUUUAAGUCCUUUAUUUUUUUUAAAAUUUUUAAUUUAUCCUAAUUUUCUUUCGCCUACUCCAAAUUUUUUUUAAAAAUAAGAUCAAAAUUAAUUUUUAAUGGGAUAAAUUGAAUUUAUUUUAAAAAAAUAAGAGAGUUAACUUUUAAAAACAAAAUAACCUAAUUGAAAUAUUUUAAAAAAUUAGAAAACUUAUUAAAAAAUUUAAUGAUAAAAUGAUGAAAUUACAUUUUAAAAAUAAACUAGAGGACGAAAAUAAUAAUUAACCCUUAAUUUUAAGUUGCUGACAAUUAAUUGUAAUAUCUCUGCAUUUUGGAAGAGGGAUUCGAAUAAGUUGUUUCCAACCAUUUUAAAAAAAAAAUAAAACUGUAACAAUUAGGAAAAGCGUGUGUUUAGACACACGUUCCAAACAUAGAAAAAUUGAUAAAAUUUUCUUUUUUAGUACAUUUUAUGAUAUUCGUAAUAGUUUUAUAUCAUAAAGUUUUUAUAUUUACUAGUGUUUUCAGUAAUCUUAUGAGGUCUGGACCCGCCACUUAGAAUAAUAAAGUAACCAACGAUUAAUAUUACUGGUCAAUGUGGACCAUUACGUAUCUCUCGUAGGUUGUUCUCUCUCCUAUGCCUAGUCCUGUUAUUCUCGUUUCCCUCAAACAUAGCGAAGCCACAUCUAACAUCAUAAAAAAAAUUUCUCAAUUCGUGUUGAUCCUUUUGUCAUUUUUUACCUCUUAAAUCCAAGUAUGUACUCUUAAAUUUCAAUCUGCUGCUCCAUUCUCCACAUGAAACUUGUGCCUUACAUGAAAAAAGGGUUUCGAUUUUGCGAGUGUGACAAUCAAUGAUCUAUUUUUAUGUAACUUUAAUAACUAUAUGUUGGGCACAUGCUUAUUGUUUCAAAACAUCUUGAAUCAACCGUAGAGGCUCAAGCUAAUAGGUCACAUUAUUAAAUUUUUUGUUGACGGACACAUGCAUACAUAAAUCAUCAAUAUCAUUUUGUACCUAGUGUCUACUAAUUUCAUUGCUUAUUAUACUAUAUUGUUGUGUAUUGAACUUUCCCAAUUCUGAAAGUGAUUAUGUAUAUUUAGUAUGAGUGCUGAAUUUUGAGGAGUCCUCCAUACAACCAUUUUGAUACAUCAAUAUGAAUCCUAUUAGGGAUGUGUCCGUUUGCUUUUAUAACUUUUGCCUUCUAAUGUCUCAGGGGAGAUCUCAGUUCGUGCAUGUAUAUGACUCCAAAAAUAUUUGAACUAUCACUUCAACAAUGAGAGAUAUACAUACGGAUACUAACUGUAGUUCACCAAGAACGCCAAAUGUUCGACUAAGAAGACGCUCAAAUGAGGUUGGUGCAGUAAAUUAACAUGUAUGCUUGUUUGUGAUCGGGGAUACAUUUAUUUCAAAUAUCAAGUUUUAGUGUGAAUUUAUGCUGCUGCAAGACCAGUUAUCUAUAGAUUCUGUCAAUUCAGAAAUCAUUUGAUUAUGACAAUAUGCACAAAAUUAUUAUUCACUCCUCUACACAUUAUUUCUUAUCUAUAUUAUAUCUGAGUUAUACAAGACAUGUAUGAAGAGAUAACUACUAGUGUGAGAACUCCAAAAGAUGAAACCAAGGACUUUCCUAUUGGGGUUGGAUUAUAUCAAGGCUCAAGUUUUUGUUUAAUGUAGUUUUGGAUGUGCUUAUUAAGGACAUACAAAAGCUUAUCCCUAAUUGCAUGCUUUUUGUGAAUGAUAUAGUCUUGAUUGAAGAAUCAAGGGAAACAAUUAAUAGUAAGUUUGAUAUGUGGAGAUAGACUUUUGAAAACAAAGGAUUUUCAUUUAGUAGGAGGAAGACAAAGUAUAUGCACUAUAAUUUUAGCGAGACAAGAGGAUUUUGGCUCAGAAGUAAAAUUGGGAGAGGAUGUCAUACCAUAGGUUUCUAAUUUUAAAUAUUUAGGAUCAAUCAUACAAAAUGAUGGUGAAAUUAAUUAGAAUGUCACACAUAGGAUAUUGGUUGGAUGACUUAAAUGGAGAAAAGUUUCAGAGGUCGUUUGGGAACGUAAAGUACAUACCAAACUUAAAGGCAAGUUUUGUGUAUAGUUAGACAUCUAACUAUACUAUAUGAUAGUGAAUGUUGAGUUUUAAAGGAACAUGAAAGAAAAAUAAAAGUAGCAAAAAUGAGAAUAUUAAGAUAGAUGUGUGGUCAUAUAAGAAAAAGAAGAAUACCGAAUGACGUUAUACGAUAAAAGAUUGGUUUAGUAUCCAUUGGGAAAAAAAAUGAGAAAAUCAGUUAAGGUGGUUUGGCAUGUACAAAGAAGGCCACAAGAGGUGUUAGAAUGAAUUUUUCAUGAUUUUUAGUCCGAGAAAAAGAAGAAGAGGGAGACUGAAAAGAACGUUGGAGGACAUCAUCAAAGAAGAUCUUAAACUUAAUAUUUAUAAAAUUUUGAUUUUUAACCAUGUCAAAUAGCAACGCGUGCAUGUAACUGACCUCACUUAGUGGGAUAAGGCUUUGUUGUUGUGGUAUCCUAAUCUAAUUCAAUUCAGCUUUAUAUGUGUCCAAAGCCUACUUAUUAUUAUUGAUCCAUUUGGUUGGCAUUUAAAAUGCUCUUUUUUCUUCUUAUAAGAUACAUUACAUGCAGAAAAGGGGCCGGGGAAAUAGAAGAAAAAAGAAUCAUUUUAAAGAAUUUGAAACUGAUGCUAGCUUUUUUGUGUCAGAUUCCUGCAGAGAUAAGCAAAUCAAAUGGAAACAAUUUACUUGUCGAUGAUAAAUCCAAAUACAAAUCAAUGUGGAUCCGUGCAUACUCAUCUCUGUGGAUGCUAGCGAGUGUCUCACUAAUCAUAUACUUGGGUCAUCUUUACAUCUGGGCCAUGGUUGUGGUUAUCCAAAUAUUUAUGGCCAGUGAGCUCUUCAAUCUACUUAGAAGAGCAUCUCAAGAUAAACGUCUCCCUAAGUUUAAGCUCUUGAACUGGUAAGCAUUCAUGUACUGUAAUUUCCAAAUGAUCAUGUGCAAAUGAGAAAUGUUUAGUUUAAUAAAUAGUGUUUCACAAAGAUAUGAUUCUGAAUGCAAUGUCCAGGCAUUAUUUCUUCACAGCAAUGCUAUUCGUAUAUGGCCGUAUUCUCAGUCAACAACUUGUGAAUACUGUGACUUCAGAUAAACUCUUGUAUAGAUUUGUGAGCAACCUGAUCAAGUAUCAGAUGGUUAUAUGCUACUUUUUAUAUAUUGCAGGUUAGUACUUCCAAAUGUUUCAUUCAUAAUUGUCACCAAAUUUGGAAAGAGAGAAAACAUGAAUAGUUAUAAUCAAGAUACCUUUAGGUCCUGUCUUUGUUGGGCAUAUUCCUCAUAAAUCUGAAUCAAUCAUGUUACGUAACUUAAUUUUAUCUAAUAUCCUGUUAACCUAGUCUUCAGCAGGUUCAAGUGUUUGCUGCCUGUAAUUUUAAAAAAAAAUCUUUCAUUCUUGAUUUCAGGUUUUGUAUGGUUUAUUCUUUCAUUGAAGAAGAGAUAUUACAAGUAUCAGUUUGGCCAGUAUGCAUGGACACAUAUGAUACUUAUUGUUGUGUUUACCCAGUCUGCGUUCACUGUAGCCAACAUAUUUGUAGGGAUAUUCUGGUAACAUGACUUCUGUUAUAUUACUUGAUGAUGAAAUCUCAAUUUUCUAAUUCCUUCUUUUGGUUUAUUCUUUCCUAUUUUAUGUGAUUUUAGCUUACUUAAACAUCUUUCCAAAUAUGAUUCUACGCAAUCUAGCUUCAUUUACAUUUGAUCAGAAAAUUGUAGAACACAGUUACUUACAAAAAAGGAUGCAUUAAAUCAAUAAACAAGAAAUAGUCUCUUAACAAUUUCUUUUAAAUAAUAUGCAUCUUUUUGUCUUUUUUCUUUUUUUGUUUUUCUGUUAGCUUUCUGACUUUCUCUAAUUCUUGUUUUCAUUCCAACUUACUGUAUGGUCGCGGAAAAAUUAUAUUUUUGCAUACAUUCAAUGUAUUGUAAAAAAUAUGUUCAAUUUUUUAUAUGUUGACUUUGGUGUUGUUAUGCACACGAGUAAAAGGAUAAUCAGAUAUAAUAAUUGGAAUUUUAGUGGUCUUUGAAUUAACUAUGUUGUAGCUCAAAAAUAUUAAAGAUGUUUCUAUUAAAUUUGUGGUUUGAUUGACUUGUACAAAGAUUUCUCAUUAUUAAAGAAGAGGAAGAAAAGAACAUAAAUAACGGGACUCUUUACAAACAUGGCAUCAUGAUUUAUGAAAUUUACAUUAUGUCUAUUGUUUUUGCUCCCAAAGAGUUUCACUUUUCUGCAAAACCAGCAUCUGUGUUUUUCCUCGCUCGAUGGAAAUUCUAUAGGGGUUCUGAUAUGAGCAACUGCUUUGGUAUUGCCAACCACUAUGUUUUUCAUGCUUUAAUUGAUUUUAUUUUUUAUAGUUACAACCUAACAUGUUAAUAUUAUGAUGAAAGGUUUCUUUUCCCUGCAAUCCUCAUUGCUAUGAAUGAUGUUGGUGCAUAUUUCUUCGGUUUCUAUUUUGGGAGAACACCUCUGAUCAAGCUUUCUCCAAAGAAAACAUGGGAAGGUUUCAUUGGAGCGUCUGUUGCCACUAUGAUUGCUGCAUUUACGGUAAGCAUCAGUCAGUGACAUCAACUACCAUCCCAAAAAGCUUUCAAAAUUCACACCUUGUUUAUAGCUCUACUAGAUCUUUUGUGUUUAACUCACAACCUCCACUUUAAGUUGAUUUAAUGAUAUUUUUCAGUAUUUUUGCUUUGCAUGAUGAUGUCACUUAUGUUUGUGCAGUUUGCAAACUUCUUGGGUCGCUUCCAGUGGCUAACAUGUCCAAGGAAGGUAACAAUCUUGAUUGGGUGCUGUCAUCUAUGAGGAAAUAUUUAUGAUGUUCCUAAUGAUGGUGAAAUAAAUUCAGGAUUUAUCAACUGGUUGGCUUCAGUGUGACCCUGACCCAAUUUUUAAGCCAGAUUACAUUCCAUUGCCAGGAUUGAUUUCUCAUUGGGUAAGUACCAAAAAAAUAAAUCUAUCCUAAUAAUUACAAAGAGAUGGCAGUUUUGCCACUAAGCUUAAGAUUAAGAAUUUAAGACUAAAGUUUUUUAUUUUGGAACAUUUUGUAGCUUCCUUGGAAAGAGAUAGCAGUUUUGCCAGUACAGUGGCAUGCCUUGUGGAUGGGACUAUUUGCGUCAAUAAUAGCACCAUUUGGAGGUUUUUUUGCUAGUGGCUUCAAAAGAGCUUUUAAAAUCAAAGUAUGUUCUUGCUCUUUAUACUAGACAUUUAUUUUGCAUCCAUCAUCCUUUUUCCAUUCACUUUGAAACUCCCAAACAUAGCAAUAGCAUUGAUCUCUUUGAAUGAUUACAGGACUUUGGUGAUAGUAUACCUGGACAUGGUGGAUUUACAGACAGAAUGGACUGCCAGGUUUGCUCAUAGAUAGAUAUUUAUGUGCUAGAAUUAUCCUUGGUUUAUAUCUGAAUAGGCUAUUACUUAAUUCAGGAUACACUUUUCACAUUUUUUAUUGCAUUAUAGUUAGUCAAUAAUCAGUAACUGCUAUGACUGAACUUGCUUUGAGUAUUUGGGGGUAUUUUCUUUGUUUUAUAUCUACCGUUUUGUUAUCGAUGAGCUAAGAUAUCCCAUUGUAUUGACAUAUUAAAGUGAAAUUGAUUCAUCACUAAUAAAAUUUAUAUGCCCUCGCUAUAUACACCUUGUUUCAAUGCUCAGUGCUUUCAAUUUCACCAUAAGUCAUGAGCUGCUUUCUAUGCCAUGAUAUAAAGUAAAGUACACAAAUAACUCUGCAGCUAUUGAGAGUCUGUGACUGUUGUGUUUUAUACUGUGAUGCAUCCUCUGCAGAUGGUAAUGGCUGUUUUCGUCUACAUUUACCAUCAAUCAUUUGUUGUAGGCCAAGACUAUUCAGUUGAGAUGCUAUUGGACCAGGUGAGUCUCUAGUUUAAGCAAUUUAUUGGCUAACUUUCAUUCAUGUGAAAAUUAGAGGAUUCUGUUUUCUUUCAGUACCAAUAUUACACACAUAAUCAAACUGGAUACAUUUCAUUAUGGCCAUUACCCAUAGGUGUAACGCUUAAGUGUUUUAUUUAUGUAGAUAAUGAGGAACCUUGGUUCAGAGGAGCAGCUAUCUCUCUACACAAAACUCGGGAAGAUAUUGCAAGAAAGGCAUUUAUGACAAGUUCACUAUACAAUUAAUAGAGAAUGCUUCAGUUGGUAUUUUAUUUGUAGAUGAAGACCCUGUUGGAACAAGUGGUGGAGAUUAGUAAACAAUCUUUCUAGACCUCUUUUUAAGCUGCUGAACUAUGUUAAGUGGAGUGUAGCGAUCCUUGCAAGUGACAUUCCUUCUUUUCCUUAAGGGCUUAACAUUGACACUUUGAAGCAGAUUUGUAAUGAUAAAUAUAUUGGUGUUUUUCAAUACUGUUUUUUGUUAGAGUUAUCUACUAUUAAUUUAUCAUCAAAGUCUCAAUAUACAAACUUGUAAUGCAUUAUUCUAUUCUUAAUAUUCUUUCUUCAAAAUUCAAUCAAGAAAUUUUCUCACAACUUACAUCCGCUGAAACAAAACACAUUCAAAUGAACAUGCAAUUUCAUUUUCCUGAUUUGUUUUGGCUAGUGCUCAUCCCUCAUUUAGUUAUAUACUGAACCUCUGCAUGUUCUCUCAACCAUUCAAGCACUUUAGCUCCUUCUAGUAUUUCUUGAACCUUCAGGAAAGUAAAAAAAGAUCAGAUCAAUUAAUCCGCUAAAUUAGGAAAGGGAGUUUGGCCCAAACCACAAAUUUCCCUACUUGAAAAUGCAACCUAAACUACAAUUGUCUAGACAUUGUAUAGAAUCAACAUGCUAUGCUUUAGAAGUGCUUAUAAUUUCAUGGACCAUUUUGAAGACGGUUCAAGAUAUUGUGGUUUUGUAUAUGCAUAUAUGAAACAAUGAAGCAGCCAAAACAAUAAACAACAGUCAACAAACUCAGAAGUAUGGCACAAACCUGUCCCUUCACCCGUUCCUCAUCAUAUUCUUGGUUUUGACGUUUGAAUUCAGCAAUGGAAUUCUCAACCUCUUUGACAAGGUCCUCAGUAGCAAACUACAAAACAUACAUGCACAAAUCAUUCCAAUAAGCAAAAACACUCAGCAAUUAGAUAGUUUAAUUAUAAUUUAUAAAGCAAGUGAUAUGUGCAAAGCAAAUAUUAUUUCUCAAUCACAGAAUUGUGGUGGUCCUAAUACACUUGUAAUCUUUUGACAAGGGGAAAGAUUUUGUUGUCAGCGUUACGUGAGCAAAUAUUUAUAAUGGAAAUGUAUCUUAAUCAAACAUGCUACCUGCAGAUUUUCACGCCUAUAUAUAUCACCAACUGCCAGACUCUGUUUUAUCAAAUUUGUUAUAUUUUCCUUCUGAUGCUCAAGAAAUUCGUUCACAGCCUUUGAACUUGACAGAGUCGCCAGCUGCUGCUCAUUUAGUUUCAUUUUUGCCUGAGAGAGAGCAGAGUUUUUAUUUCUUUUAUUUUUUUAUUUGCAUUAAAUCACGAGUAAUGUAAAAAAGUUGGAAUUUAAGUUGCCUGAUUGGCCUGAAAAUGGUGCAACUUGCAACCAAUACCUGUAUUUCUAAUAGGUUGGCUCCAUAAAGCUGCCUUCCUUGUUCCUCAAACAAGGAUUGAGGUAUAUCAACUUGUACAAUCUGAAAAUGACAAGAUGCACAGAUCUUUUGUGAUAAAAUAUAAAAUUUAUAUAAUCCAAUGUUUUCUUGCAGCAUAAAAUUCAUUAAAAGAAUUAUUUGUAGGAAAGGGCCAAAGAGAGGGAAUCCAAAUUAAAAUGUAACUUGUUUCAUAAAUGUCAGAAUCAGAUAUUUUCGGAGGGUAUACUUACCACCAUACUUGAUAUAACAUAGAUGAUUUACAAGAUAUGAUAUGAUUCAAAAUCAACCAUGAGGUUCAUAAGGAAAGGUAGGUCUUGUCAUCUUAUUUCAGAAAAUUGAAGUCCUUCUUGAUAAUCAUUAUAUGCCUACCAGAAAAUCAUAAUAACAACUCUAGUGUAUCCAUGUCAGAUGCACAUCAUUAUGCACAAUGUAUAAGCAUGCAUAUUGAAAACAUGUGGCAAGGUAUAUUCUAAUUUAGAACAUGAGACAAAAUCAAUCUAAUACAGCUACUUAAUGUAAUGUUACCUUAGAAACCUGAUCUAAGAUAGCAUUAUCAGUGGCUUGUUCUCUAGCUGUUUGCUCCACCUCUUGGCAUUUCUGUAACAACAAGUCUUUGACCUGGCAAUUCAUGCUAGAGAAUUUUACUCUAAAUUCAACACAAAAUAAUUCCUUAAUUUACUUGACAAUCGUACUUAAGGGUAAAAAAGUCACCUGCUCCACUGUGGUGCAUCCAGGGAGAAGCUUAUCAGCAAUAGAAUCAUCCAGCUCAGGUAAAUCUCUGUAAAAAAGUUCUUUGCAUUCAACCUGUUAUGCAUAAAAGGUAUUUACAAUAAUCAAGAUCAGUUAUAUAUGAAGCCAAAGGUGUGUUUAAGCAAGCUACAAGAAAAUGAUGAGACCCAAACAUGCACCUAAUGUUGUACUCAUGUAAAUUAGUUGAGCUCUGUGUACACUAUUUAGAAAAUCCAGAGUUUGAAUCCCAUUCCCAUUGAGAGCAAAUAUAGUUUAAUUUUGGCAGAGGGAUAAACUAUCCCCUCUAAUGGAAAGCAAGAAGGCAGUUUAGACAACAUUGCCUGAAAGUUCAAAAACUUUCCAUCUGAGAUGCCUGUUCUCAAGUUUGAGGGAAAGGGUGCUAGGCUAGAGAGGAGUCACAUCCUUCUUUCAUGCCGAGAACUUUUCAUGACUUCUCUAUCUAAUGAAUCACUGAUUUUGGAGUCGUUUGCCUAGGGGCAGCUAUUCUGCCUACAGACUUCUAAAAAUCAUAGGGAAUAGGUGAAAACUUCACUUGCUUGCCUCAACCGACCUAUAGUCGCUGAGAUGUGCACAAUCUGGUUUAUGAACUGAAAGGGAUUACUAGCUUGACUAGCAAACUGGAUGAAAUUCUCAAGAUCAUCUAGAUUAUUAGAAAUAUAGAUAUUCAAACAAAGAUUUAUAACUUUAUUAUUAUUUUUAUAUUACCAAGCAAAAGCAUCAUCACAGAAAUAGAACUUUUGAUAAUAAAAUGCAGCAGCUACUCGAAUCAUUGCACAAUCAUUUUAUAUUUAUCUGUAAGGAUUUGACUUUUGAUUUUAGGAUCAUAUAUGGAAAACACUAGAAGACUUCUAGCUAGAUCACGGUUACUGUAUGAUGGCGCUACGACUACACAAGCUCAACAAGAAAGGUAAAACUCCAUUUCUUGCUUUCAUCCUCUUUCUUGGAGGUAAAUGCAAAGAUAAAACCUAGUGCUUAAAAUCUGAUGGAGCAACAAAGCUAAGACCAUAAACAUGCUAAUGUAAGAAAAGAAAGUGUUACUCCCUCUUUUAUAAAUCAAAGACAAUAACUGUAUCAUAAGGAGAUGAAAAAGCACCAUAAAUUGUACGAGACAUAUGGCCAAAAUGUAUUUAUUAUGAAGAAUUUGGUAUCCAAAGGACCAAAAGAAAAAAACUAUCAUGUCAGUUCAUGUCCCUAAAACAAUUAAACUUCUUUGAUUCAGCAUUAGAAACUUACAGUAAACUGAGCAUGAACACCUCGAAGAUUUUCUUGGUUCCAUGUUUCAGGAAAUACAAGAGGAAAAGACUUUGAUUCACCUUGUUGAAUUCCAAUUAUACAAUCAAGGAAACCCGGUAAUACUUUUUCACCAUAUUCUGUAUCAAAAUUAAAGCCUGCAUAUCUAAUAUAGGUUUAGAGGAAAUAUGUUCACGAUGUACUACAAAAAAAAAGACUUCUAUCACUUAUCAGCUUAUUAUCAUCCUUCAAGCACAUCACCCGACCUUUACUUUCAGCAGAAGGAAUACUUUUAACAUUUGAUUCAUCUUGAUCAAUGGUUGUUGCUGAGAUGUCAAGGACAACAACAUCUCCAACCUGUGAACAAAAAAAAUUUGUAGCAGCUGGCUAAUUUUGGGUAGACCGGUCGAAAUUAUUAAUACAGAUAUCAAUUAUCAAGAUAAUAAAUACAUACCAAAGGAAAUAGUGUCUGUAUGAGAGUUAUUUAUUAGUAUGAGAUAGUAAAGAUACCAUAAAAAUUAAUCAGUAAAUAUCCUUCAUUGUAUCAGCCACAACUAAAUAUAAAACAUACAUGAGGAAAUCUAUAUAGUUUGUGCUUGCUUUAUAGAACUUGGAAGUGUUAUGACUAAAAUGAUUCAUGAAAGUUUCAAAUGAAUCGAAUUUCUAGUAAAUAAUCAUAUUUAAAAAAAAAAAAAGCAAAUGGUUGUAUGCCAGCAGACUGGUAUAAAUUAAAUUUAGUCACCUGUAGCCCUCUGUCAGUAACCACUUUCAGAGCACCAAUGGAUUUAUAGCGCCUUCUAAAUUCUUGUUCAGAUGCUGUGUGAGCAUCUAUAUCACUAUCUAUCUCAACAACAAUCUUUAAAUUUUUGUAUGCAUUAUUAUCGGGAAUCCAUUUGAUUUCUGGUGCAAUAUCAACAAGGACAUCAUAUCUGGAGAUUGGAGAAGUUAAAUAAGUGAGAAUAGUUAAUAUAAUCUGCCUGAAGAAAUUGUUGGCUUUGGCUGACAUUCUGACAAUAUUAGCAUUCUUAAUGAUAGUCUUCCUUUUCUCUAUAUUAUGUCAGAAUAUAGUUUUAGUAUUAUAGAUGCAGCAAAGGAAGAGAAAAAUAACGAGUCUAAUGGAAAAUAUAUUUCAAAAAGCUUAACCUAUAGAUUACCUAAGAGACCCAAGAGAAGAAUAUGUCUCCUCCAUCUCAGAAAACUUAGUCACUAUUCGUACCGAGUCCUGCAAAGCCCUUCCAGUAACCUAUAAACAAAGUUAAUUAUGAAAUGCUCAAGUGUAAGAUCAGAAUAAUACUUGAUCUAAUAAUCCACUUUAUUCAGUAAGAACCUUGGACAAAUGAUCAGGAAAUUAUAAAGAUUUUUUUUUAAUCUGUUGAUCAGUAUCAAGUCCUCAGAUCAAAGGCAUUUCAGUGGCACAGAUUUUAAAUAAAUGCACUAUUAGAUAGCACUGUUAAAUAGACUUAUGUAAUGAGGAAAGGUCAUGAACCAAUAAGUUUGUCUUUCAAUAAUGAAGUAAGAUUUCAAGAUCCGGGAAUUAUUAACAGAUAUAAUUGCAAGUAAACACAUUGAAUCCAAAAGUGUAAAAAGAAUUAACAUCAAGAGAAAAAAAAUAAGGAUAUCAAAAAUAAGAAAAUAGAAACUAUAUUGCAACAUACCGAUGUCAUAGCAUGUGAGAGUGUCCUCCUCAAUAUAGAUUCAAUAGUAGCCUUCUGAACAUUUUGACUCCCAACAUAACUAAUAAGAAUGCUUUCUGGAACUUUCUUUCCAGGGCGAAAUCCAGGGAUCUGUUAGACUUAAAACAACGGUAAAUUAGCUCAUAAAGAUAACAUGCAGCCCUUGGAUGCUGAAACCUGGGAUCCAUGACAAUCUUAAGUAAAUUCAUAUAUGAUAGGAUAGAGCACAUCCCUUAAGAUUGUGAGGUUUAGUAACCCGAAAUUUUCAUUGAGAGGUUAUAGUUAUAGUUAUAGUUUCAAAUUUAGAAACUGGAAAUCCUCCUGACCGACAAAAUAAAGUGCACCAUAUUCACAGACAACAAUAAUUUGAUGCAUAUAUUUUCUUUGAGCCAGAAUAUGAGAAAGACAUUACAUUAUAAUAUUAUAUAAUUAUAUAAAGCAUAAGUGUAACCCCAUAGCACCUUUGCUUGCUUCAUAAACUCUGCUAUGACCCUCUUGUAACAAUCCUCACAUACCAAUGAUGGCACCUCCACAUGCAAUCUAACCUGCAAAGGGAAAGAGAUGCAAAAGUACAUAUUCAGUGAUAUGAAUUCUGGUCCAGGAUAUAUGCUCAAUUGCUUACAAUUAUCUUAUUUUUAAGGCUUUCUUUUGCAAUUGAUUAAUAAGCUUGCAUGGAAUUUGAAUCCUCUCCUAUCGUUUAAGUAACAAGAUAUGGCCAUGUUGAAGAGAAAAAUACACCUUGCAUAUAGUUCAUAAUCAUCAUUACCCUUAAUAAAUUAUAUAGCAAACUACAAACGAUUCACAUAUGAUUGUUGCGUUGAACCAAACUGAGAAAUAAGGAUAAAGGGGGAAAAAAAAGAAGAAAAAAGAACAUACUCUGGAAUUGGGUUCCGCUGUUUCAGUGACAUUCAAUUCUGCUGGAAGACGGUCCUGUUCUGUGCCAACUGCAACUGAAGAAGAAGAAGAAGAAGAAGAAGCAGAAGCAGCUGAGAGUGUGAAGGGAGAAGAAGUGUGAGGAGAGAGAAAGGGUUGGAAGAGGUGAAUAUGAGGGGGGAAAGAUGAGAGUUUAAGGGAAUUGAAUUUGAAGGGUGUUUUAGCGUUGGCAUUAGCACGAAGAAACAGGGGGUUUGAAGAGGAAGAAGGGUUGAAAAGAAAGAAACUUGUGAAGGUUCGAGUGCACAGCUCCAUUGUCUCUCAGCACUCAGCAGAC